GUGCUCGCUCUGGCAGCACAUACACUAAACUGGAACGUACAGAGAUUCACAUGUCGACUGUGCAAGGAUGACACACUAAGUCCUGAAGCGUUCGUGUUUUCA
rnacentral:snRNA from 1 species